AACGAACGCUGGCGGCAGGCUUAACACAUGCAAGUCGAACGCCCCGCAAGGGGAGUGGCAGACGGGUGAGUAACGCGUGGGAAUCUACCCAGAUCUUCGGAACAACUGAGGGAAACUUCAGCUAAUACCGGAUACGCCCUACGGGGAAAGAUUUAUCGGUUCUGGAUGAGCCCGCGUUGGAUUAGCUAGUUGGUGAGGUAAUGGCUCACCAAGGCGACGAUCCAUAGCUGGUCUGAGAGGAUGAUCAGCCACACUGGGACUGAGACACGGCCCAGACUCCUACGGGAGGCAGCAGUGGGGAAUAUUGGACAAUGGGCGAAAGCCUGAUCCAGCCAUGCCGCGUGAGUGAUGAAGGCCUUAGGGUUGUAAAGCUCUUUCAGUAGGGAAGAUAAUGACGGUACCUACAGAAGAAGCCCCGGCUAACUUCGUG
rnacentral:rRNA from 1 species